rnacentral:rRNA from 1 species
AAGUCGUAACAAGGUCUCCGUUGGUGAACCAGCGGAGGGAUCAUUACCGAGUUUACAACUCCCAAACCCAUGUGAACAUUACCUCUAUGUUGCUUCGGCGGAGCCGCCCCGGCGCCCGGAACCCCCUGCGGUCCCGCGGCCCGGAACCAAGGCGCCCGCCGGAGGCCACAAACUCUUCUGUUUUUACAGUUUCUUCUGAGUGUGCCGCAAGGCAGUAUACAAAUGAAUCAAAACUUUCAACAACGGAUCUCUUGGUUCUGGCAUCGAUGAAGACCGCAGCGAAAUGCGAUAAGUAAUGUGAAUUGCAGAAUUCAGUGAAUCAUCGAAUCUUUGAACGCACAUUGCGCCCGCCAGAAUUCUGGCGGGCAUGCUGUUCGAGCGUCAUUUCAACCCUCGAGCUCCCCUUUCGGGGGGAGCCCGGCGUUGGGACCCGGCGCUAACAACGCCGGCCCCGAAAUGGAGUGACGGCCCGUCCGCGGCGACCUCUGCGUAGUAACAACCACUCGCACCGGGACCCGGGCGCGGCCACGCCGUAAAGCACCCCACCUUCCGAAUGUUGACCUCGAAUCAGGUAGGAAUACCCGCUGAACUUAA